AAAUCAGAUCCCUGAAAUCAAUAGGUCUUUGAGGGAAGAGUUUGUCUUUCCCUCAGUGUUUGUACUCCAGCAGGAUUAAACUUGUAGGCCUGGCACUGUGAUUCUGUGCUUGAGAGUUAAACUGAUGCUCAUGGAUGCUGAUCUGUUCUUUUACUGUUUGUAAACUCAGGUAUUACUGACAGGCAGACUGUAGAGGAACUGUGCUUUGAAAGCCUUUUGGAAACUUCAUGGGACAGGGAGUGUUUUGCCUGCCUGCUUAGUGGAGUGAAUCAGCGCGCAGAAGCUUUGGACAGAGCUAGCUUUCAAUUUGAUUUUAAGUUCCACCAUAAGUACGCAGACAGGAGGAAGCCUCUGCCUUUAACAAGAUAUCUUGGAUAACCAUAUGGAGAUGGGACUGCCCACUAAUCCCCUGCCUCCAGUGGAUCUUGAAUAUUACCCCAGUAUUUACAGAGAUUCCAAAUCAUACAGCAAGAUAACAAGGAGCUCACUUCACAAGAUCUCUGUGCAACUCCUUAUUAAGUGAAUGGAGGUUUUGCACUUGAAAGCUUAUGGGGUAGAAUAUUAGCUUGGUAGAAGACAAACCACCAUUUAGGUUUUCUGUGCAAUCUAGACUUGCUUUUGCCAGUAGACACGUGAGAACAGACUUCCCACUUUGCUUCUCCAUAGUUACCUCACCAACUUCUUCUGGUCCGAUGUGGAGGCUGGCAAGAUUAUAAGACUAGACAAGGUUUUAUUGUAGGUACAGGACUGGAGAUCAAAGAGUGUCAGAAAUUACUUCCUUCUCUGGUAAUACUGUGGUACUGCUGUUCCUGCUGUCCAUCAGAGGCACAGAGACUGCUGAGAGCUAACAGCCAUUAAAUAAAGACUAGUUAAUUCUGUUGAAAAAUUCAGUGUUUAACUGUUGCUUAAGAGAUGAUGUGAAUAUAUGGAAUUUAGGACACAGAGCAAGAAAACAGAUACAGAAAUACGUAUUAUAUGUGAUGGUUAAUAGUCUGUCUAGUACAUUAUGGGGUUUAUAAGAACUGUAAUGAAUGUGUUCACAUAGUCACAUUAUAAUUAAUUAUUCAGUGCUUUAGAAAACCUGCACAAUAGGAAGCAAGUUGGUUUUUUUAAUUAGGAAUCACAAAUUACAUUUUUAGUGAAUCAUUUAUUUGAAAAAAAGCCUGCAAUUCUAGGGCAGCCACCAUUCUGAGGUUGAGACAAUUUCUAGGCAUGUGUGUAAGCCAAUAGCAAUAAAAAUUUUAGAAAUGUGAAACUGUUCACCACUUGUACAACAUCUGUCUGGUAACUUUGUGGUCCUAGUUCUUUAUCCCUUUUCUUGUUAGGUAUUUUAAAACAAAGUAUUUAAUUUUGGAUUCAAUGAAAUUUGACUUCAAAGAGUUUUUCCCACGCCCUCCAGAAGUGAGCUUUUCAGGUUUCAGCAUGUUGAUCUUGGAAACACGGGAUAAGGAGGACUUUCUGGGCCACUGGCUGCAGCUGCUUCCGACUGAGGCGAAUGACAUCAUCUGAUUAAGAAGCACCUAGAAGCAGAGCUUUGUGUCUAUCCUUCCCUGCUCUACCAACUUUAGAAGGAUGUUUGCAAAUGUGACGGCUCUGAACUGUAGGAAGAAGCUUUCACCUUCCAGAUGAAAUUUCUUCACGUUAAAUCUGUAGGCACUUGUUCUUUGUCCACUGCUAUCUCUAGAGCAAAUAAUUCUUCACAGGCUUUACUCCUUAGAUUUAAAACCGGUUGUUUGUUGGUUUUUUCCUCUUUAUUUUACCACUUCUCUUACAGUCCCUGCUGUGGCCAGAAGAUGGCACUUAUGUACGCACUAAGAAGGGGUAAAUGAGGCUAGUAUAAUUUAUCUUUGCCGAAAUUGUGUUUGUGGAAUGGCAGUAAAUAUCUUGGGCAAAUGAUAACUCGCAGGAUAAAAGAUCACUUUGAUCUCGUUGCACAUGAGGGGCACAGAUUCAAGAACAAAGUCCAGGAACUUGUUACUCCACAUAGAAACUCUUUAUUUCCUUAUUCAGUAAUAAGGAUCUGAAAUGCCCCUGAAUUCAGAAGGCAAUCAUCAAAUAAAAGUCCUGCGUGUUGGGGUUUUUUUACUUUAU